GGGGCUGUAAUGGUUUCGACAGGUCGGCGAACACUGUCUCGUGAUACAGGUCGAGAGUGAGUCUUCUCUCGCAAAUACCGGGCUCAAAAAAAAGUAAAGGCGAAAAAUAACAUCGUUCCUUUUGCUCGCGCAACAGUUGCUGUUGCUUAAUAAUCUCUAAAACAGGUUACGAGCAUCUGUAAACCGACUCCGUUAAGGAAUACAGAAACAACCCCAACGGAUGCGCUAGUAAGUUGUCUCUGGUAGAUUUGCUAGCAAAGAACUCACCAGAGAAUCCUAUCGUCCGGGAUAAUGGACGAUUCCCGCCUUGAGGAUCAAAUAGGCUAAACCUGUGAAGGAGCGGGAGGUAAAUACCCGGUUUGGACAGCCGUUCGAUUCGGCUCAGCUCCAUUU
rfam:Phormidium ambiguum IAM M-71 NIES-2119_Scaffold_35, whole genome shotgun sequence.